rnacentral:rRNA from 1 species
GAUGAACGCUGGCGGCGUGCCUAAUACAUGCAAGUCGAGCGAACGGACGAGAAGCUUGCUUCUCUGAUGUUAGCGGCGGACGGGUGAGUAACACGUGGAUAACCUACCUAUAAGACUGGGAUAACUUCGGGAAACCGGAGCUAAUACCGGAUAAUAUUUUGAACCGCAUGGUUCAAAAGUGAAAGACGGUCUUGCUGUCACUUAUAGAUGGAUCCGCGCUGCAUUAGCUGGUUGGUAAGGUAACGGCUUACCAAGGCAACGAUGCAUAGCCGACCUGAGAGGGUGAUCGGCCACACUGGAACUGAGACACGGUCCAGACUCCUACGGGAGGCAGCAGUAGGGAAUCUUCCGCAAUGGGCGAAAGCCUGACGGAGCAACGCCGCGUGAGUGAUGAAGGUCUUCGGAUCGUAAAACUCUGUUAUUAGGGAAGAACAUAUGUGUAAGUAACUGUGCACAUCUUGACGGUACCUAAGCAGAAAGCCACGGCUAACUACGU